GUCGCGAACUUGAUGGAUUACAGCGGGAGAACCCAGGGAACCGGUCCUUUGCGGCUCCUUCUGCGCAUGUGCAGUCCUUCCUCCUUGUUCGCCAGCUCCCCUGUCUCCAGCUGCGCUGCAGGUAACCCUGGAGCCUCCAGGUCGAAGCAUUGCUCGGUGACCGGGUGCUGCACGAAGGAUGUGCACUACAGCCAGGUCCACACUCCCCUGGAUCACACAGUUCUUGUGAGGAAAGAAGGUGGCAAUACCAGGAGCAGACCUCCCGCCUGGGAGAUGCCCACCCCACCCAGGCGCAGGUCACCACAGCUGCAGGGCACAGAUCCUGGGAGCAAGCCGAUUCUCAGAACCACUCAGAAGUGAGUCCUGGUCCUUUUGUCCUAAGGGACAGCGCCACGCCAGACGUCAGCCAAGGUGUGGCCCGACUUUCAAAACAGAGAGUGGCAGAAUCAGAAGGAGCGUCAAGGCCCGCUGACUCCCAAGCCACUGUUCUGUCCACCAUGUCUCAGUUAAGUCCAAAC